UGCAGGAUAGAGAAGUGGUUAUCUCACAAGCCUCAUAAGCUUGGAAUCGUGGGUUCAAAUCCCACUCUUGCAACCA
rnacentral:tRNA from 1 species